AGUAUAGAAAGUUACUUCGGUACAUCGGUGACAGGUGGUGCAUGGUUGUCGUCAGCUCGUGUCGUGAGAUGUUGGGUUAAGUCCCGCAACGAGCGCAACCCCUAUUGUUAGUUGCCAUCAUUCAGUUGGGCACUCUAGCGAGACUGCCGGUAAUAAACCGGAGGAAGGUGGGAUGACGUCAAAUCAUCAUGCCCCUUAUGACCUGGGCUACACACGUGCUACAAUGGUUGGUACAACGAGUUGCGAGUCGGUGACGGCGAGCUAAUCUCUUAAAGCCGAUCUCAGUUCGGAUUGUAGGCUGCAACUCGCCUACAUGAAGUCGGAAUCGCUAGUAAUCGCGGAUCAGCACGCCGCGGUGAAUACGUUCCCGGGCCUU
rnacentral:rRNA from 1 species